rnacentral:rRNA from 1 species
UACGUAGGGUGCAAGCGUUGUCCGGAAUUAUUGGGCGUAAAGAGCUCGUAGGCGGUCUGUCGCGUCUGCUGUGAAAACUCAGGGCUUAACCCUGAGCUUGCAGUGGGUACGGGCAGACUAGAGUGAUGUAGGGGAGACUGGAAUUCCUGGUGUAGCGGUGAAAUGCGCAGAUAUCAGGAGGAAUACCGGUGGCGAAGGCGGCAUCCUGGACCGACAUUGACGCUGAGGAGCGAAAGCUAGGGGAGCAAACGGG